AGUUGAGAUUUCGGGGAUUGAACUUGGAGCCUCUUACAUGUGAAGUGAGCGCUCUACCACUGAGCUACACCAGC